GACAAGGCUGGCUCUGCUUGGGAAUGCAGAAACCCUGAGUCCUUGUCCUGGGCCCCACAGUGUCUGAGCAUCGAAGGUCCCUGCUCUGGGACGAGUCACCCCACAGACACCCCACAUUCGGGAAUCAAGUCUUGAGGAAUCAGAAGCAGAGAUUCACACUGUGGCAAAGAGGGGAGCGGAGGUAUCCCCGUUUUCCUUUGCAGAGAGCUACACCAACUGCCCUCUUCGUCUUUACAACCCUACUUGGGGUCCCUUUCCCUCCUCGCUUGUGCCUGUGAGUUCCAAGAGGUGGAACUGGGGUGAGCAGAGCCCCCAGGUCUCCAGGAGCAGCUCCACCUCCUCACAGGUUACAGUCGCUUCCUCCUACCGAGGUUCUGCCUUCAACCCACUGCCCAUGCCAGCUCCCUCAGGCCAGUCUCCCAGACUGUCCCUGGCUCCCUGCACCCUGGCUCCAGCUCCCUGCCCUGGAAAGAAGAAGUCCACCAUCUGGUGAGGGUCUGCCACGCAUCUGGGGUCUGCCAUGCGUCUGCACUGAGGUUCUGCCACGAGUCUGCACUGAGGUUCUGCCAUGCGUCUGGAGUCUGCCACGCGUCUGGGGUCUGCCACGCGUCUGGAGUCUGCCAUGGGUCUGGGGUCUGCCAUGUGUCUGGGAUCUGCCGUGCGUCUGGGGUCUGCCACGCAUCUGCACUGAGGUUCUGCCACGCGUCUGGGGUCUGCCACGCGUC
rnacentral:lncRNA from 10 species